GCCAGGUACAGUGGCGCAUGCCUGUAAUUCCAGCAGCUCGGGAGGCUGAGGCAGGAGGAUCAUGAGUUCAAUGCCAACCUCAGCAACUGCGAGGCGCUAAGCAAUUCAGUGAGAGACUUUGUCUCUA
rnacentral:sRNA from 1 species